GCCUUUUUAGCACAGCAGACACUGUGUCUGUCCUAUAAUCUGAAGGUCCUGAAUUUAAGCCUCAGAGAAGGCA